UACGUAGGGCGCAAGCGUUGUCCGGAAUUAUUGGGCGUAAAGAGCUCGUAGGCGGUUUGUCGCGUCUGCCGUGAAAACCCGAGGCUUAACCUCGUGGCUUGCGGUGGAUACGGGCAGACUAGAGGUAGGUAGGGGAGAAUGGAAUUCCCGGUGCAGCGGUGAAAUGCGCAGAUAUCGGGAGGAACACCGGUGGCGAAGGCGGUUCUCUGGGCCUUACCUGACGCUGAGGAGCGAAAGCGUGGGGAGCGAACAGG
rnacentral:rRNA from 1 species